UGCCGGAGGGAACGUAGGAGGGACGGUACGAGGGCAGCGGAGUCAUCGGAGUCAGCGGAGUCAGCGGAGUCAUCGGAGUCAGCGGAGGGCAGCGGAGGAAGUCCUGAGACACCCGAGGAAGCGGAGAGACAACGGGAGACAUUGAGACAGCCAGAGAUUGAGACACAGUUGGAGGUCAUUGAGAGACUGCGAGGCAUCAAGGAGAGACAUUUCGAGAGAGCGAGAAAAAGCUGAAGCUAUAUACGGCUACGAGAAAAGCUAUCUUCUCGAGAUCUCUCUCAACUAAAAACCGACAGCGCGCGCCAACAGCAAAACGAAGCUCGCGCCACUGUUAAUCCUGCGCCUCUUUGGCAAAGAUAGCAAGCUUCGUCCCGGAUUAACUCGCUACCACGCUAUAUCGUCCCAGUUGGCAAGCUUUUCUGGCGCGGCUCCAUUUCCAGCUAUUCGGAGUGUCAUUUGGAAUUUGAUAACGAGUGGCGGGGGAGGAGCAGAACGGGCAGAGGGGAGUGAUGUGGAGGUACUGAAAGGAGAGAGGUGGGGAGAGAGAAAAGCGGAACAGUGAUCAGGUGGAGCUCAGGUGUGGAGGAAAACGAAGAGGAGAAAGGGA